rnacentral:rRNA from 1 species
GGGAUUGCCUCAGUAACUGCGAGUGAAGCGGCAAAAGCUCAAAUUUGAAAUCUGGCGUCUUCGGCGUCCGAGUUGUAAUUUGGAGAGGCAUCUUCGGAUAUGGCGCCGUCCUAAGUUCCUUGGAACAGGACGUCACAGAGGGUGAGAAUCCCGUGCCUGGUCGGCUGUCCAUAUCCAUGUGAAGUGUCUUCGACGAGUCGAGUUGUUUGGGAAUGCAGCUCAAAAUGGGUGGUAAAUUUCAUCUAAAGCUAAAUAUUGGCGAGAGACCGAUAGCGCACAAGUAGAGUGAUCGAAAGAUGAAAAGAACUUUGAAAAGAGAGUUAAAAAGUACGUGAAAUUGUUGAAAGGGAAGCGCUUGAGACACCACUCGAUCUUUGGUGAUCAGCCGGGCUUCUGUCUGGUGCACUUGCCAUUGAUUGGGCCAGCAUCGGUUCUGACGGUGGGAUAAAAGGCAGAGGAAUGUGGCUCUCUUCGGGGAGUGUUAUAGCCUCUGUCAUAAUGCCGCCAGUUGGGACCGAGGACCGCGCUUCGGCUAGGAUGCUGGCAUAAAGGUCUUAAGCGACCCGUCUUGAAACACGGACCAAGGAGUCUAACAUCUAUGCGAGUGUUCGGGUGGAAAACCCUUGCGCGUAAUGAAAGUGAACGGAGGUGGGAACUCUUCGGAGUGCACCAUCGACCGAUCCUGAUGUUUUCGGAAGGAUUUGAGUAAGAGCAUAGCUGUUGGGACCCGAAAGAUGGUGAACUAUGCCUGAAUAGGGUGAAGCCAGAGGAAACUCUGGUGGAGCUCGCAGCGGUUCUGACGUGCAAAUCGAUCGUCAAAUUUGGGUAUAGGGGCGAAAG